UCUCUCUCUCUCUCUCUUCUUCGGGUUUUUUUUUGUGUGAGAAAUUUCGUCAUCUCUCCUUCUCCAAAUCCAUCCAUGAAAUCAUCUUGAAGCAUCGGUUCCUAGAAUCAAAGCACGGAGAUGUUUCAAGGUAGAGACAAUAUGUGACAUCAAUGAAGAAAACGGAUUACUUUCUGCUUCUGGGUAUCAUCAUUCUCCUCUUCCUCUCUGGGUCUGUAGCUUCAGCUCCUUCAUCAACUUCACCAGCGAUGCUCCUACUACCUCGGACUCGGAGGGAUGUCUCGCCGCAAUUUCACAUCAAUCACUGGUAAUCCUCUGCAUGAAACAAUCUUCCAUUUAUUGUCAUCUGUGAUUCUUUUGUUUUCACUGCAGAGUCAGGUGUUAAAAAAACUUUGGAUUCCAUGGAUACAUGUGCAAACAUGUUCAUCUUGAGCAUGUCUGGAUAUAUGUGUUACACUUAUUUGGGUAUAUUUUUAUUAAUCAUUUUCCUUCGGCUCAUCGUUAUUUAUGCACUGGUGAGUCAUUUUCUUCUAUUUUGGAUACAUUCUGAACAUCAAUAGGGAACUCAUAGAGGUCUGGAAAUGUAUCCUCAUGAAUCGCAGCUCCUUGAGUGAGAUCUGUCGCAUUUCUGAGUUUUAGAAUAUUAAGCUUGACUAUUUCUUUUUUAUUAUAGUAGUCUGUUCAUGAUCCUGAACAUUUUGUGCAGGGCUGGUGAAUUUGACUCAAAUGGUUGAACUUCCAUCUCAAGAAAGGUGGCUACAAUUGGAAACUUUUCUUCAGAUACGAAGGUAUAUGGUUUUCCAAGUACCAACUAGAUUUAUACAUUUCUUUUAUAUUUGUUUAAAAAAUUUAA